rnacentral:rRNA from 1 species
AGUGAACGCUGGCGGUAGGCCUAACACAUGCAAGUCGAACGGCAGCACAGUAAGAGCUUGCUCUUACGGGUGGCGAGUGGCGGACGGGUGAGGAAUACAUCGGAAUCUACUUUUUCGUGGGGGAUAACGUAGGGAAACUUACGCUAAUACCGCAUACGACCUACGGGUGAAAGCAGGGGAUCUUCGGACCUUGCGCGAUUGAAUGAGCCGAUGUCGGAUUAGCUAGUUGGCGGGGUAAAGGCCCACCAAGGCGACGAUCCGUAGCUGGUCUGAGAGGAUGAUCAGCCACACUGGACCUGAGCCACGGUCCAGACUCCUACGGGAGGCAGCAGUGGGGAAUAUUGGACAAUGGGCGCAAUCCUGAUCCAGCCAUACCGCGUGGGUGAAGAAGGCCUUCGGGUUGUAAAGCCCUUUUGUUGGGAAAGAAAAGCAGCAGGUUAAUACCCCGCUGUUCUGACGGUACCCAAAGAAUAAGCACCGGCUAACUUCGUG